rnacentral:rRNA from 1 species
GACGGAGGGUGCUAGCGUUGUUCGGAAUGACUGGGCGUAAAGGGCGCGUAGGCGGCCGCUUGCGUCGGAUGUGAAAGCCCGGGGCUCAACCCCGGAACGGCAUCCGAUACGGAGCGGCUCGAGACCGAGAGAGGUGAGUGGAAUACCCAGUGUAGAGGUGAAAUGCGCAGAUAUCAGGAGGAACACCAAUUGCGAAGGCAGCUCGCUGGGACGUUACUGACGCUGAGACGCGAAAGCGUGGGGAGCAAACAGG